rnacentral:rRNA from 1 species
GAUCAUGGCUCAGGAUGAACGCUAGCUACAGGCUUAACACAUGCAAGUCGAGGGGCAGCAUGAUUGAAGCUUGCUUCAAUUGAUGGCGACCGGCGCACGGGUGAGUAACACGUAUCCAACCUUCCGUACACUCAGGGAUAGCCUUUCGUAAGAAAGAAUUAAUACCUCGAUAGUAUCUUAAGUACACACCAUGUUAAUUUAAAGUAAUUAAAGUAAUUUAAUUCGGUUGGUACGGUAUGGGGAGGUGUCG